CUGCUUGAGAGCACUCAUAUACUCUAUUUAUCCACAGAGCAGAUCCAGCACAAACAGUAGCAACACAAGGCUCUCCCCAAGGCAUGGCAUCCUAGCAUGGUGUUUUGUCUGUGGAAGGAACACAUCUAUAGAUGAGUAGUAUUAUAGUGUCCAGUCCUUACACUCUACCCAUUCU
rnacentral:sRNA from 1 species